CGUCUUAUUAACGAUCACCCACCACUUGACAUGCUUACACACUCACACUCACACACACAUGCACACAGACGCGGCAGAGCAGUGCCCAACAUCCACCCCUCCCACGGAGGAGCCCGGAGGAGCCCGACGACCGCACAUGGCGACAGGACACCCGCCUCUGGAACAGCUGGCUCUCCUCCUCCUCUCAGCUGACGCGUAGACCCUUCUCUUCGAGUAUUUGACAGACUGUGUGUGACACUCGCUUGUACUGGGUGUCAGUUUGUCAAAUACCCCAAGAGAGGGGUCAUUACUCGCCGGGACGUACAGACCAGACACCUGCCACAGACCACGCCCCCGUGGGAGGGCGAGGGUGAGAGGUGCCCGCCUCCGGACUGGUGAGACCCACCCCCGCCCUCGGAACCAGACAGACCAUUAUAGCAUUAGACAAAACAUCAAUAAAAUGUUUAGGUUUAUGCAAAAAAAUUAUGUAAAAAAUGUAAUUGCUUUGUAAUUAUGAUCCCUUAUAUACACAUAUUUUCAUAUAUGGUCUCUUUUCUACUGGACACAUCAAGAUCAUAGAAUAUGUAAAUUUAGAUUUAAUAUGAAGUAUUACAUACAUUUAGGGGCUGUUCUAACUUAAGUAAGAAAUGUCAGUUAUGUUGUUAGUAUUCUGCUCUCAGAGAUCAACCUCAUCUUCUCAUGCUUGUCCUUAAUGUGCUUAAAUGAAUAAAGAAAAUAACUAAAAUGCA